rnacentral:rRNA from 1 species
GGACUACACGGGUAUCUAAUCCUGUUUGAUCCCCACGCUUUCGUGUAUGAGUGUCAGUAUAGGACCAGGUCGCCGCCUUCGCCGCCGGUGUUCCUCCUGAUAUCUACGUAUUUCACCACUACACCAGGAAUUCCACGACCCUCUUCCUUACUCAAGUCUUGUAGUUUUGAAUGCACUUCCCGAGUUAAGCCCGGGGCUUUCACAUCCAACUUUCAAGACCACCUGCACACGCUUUACGCCCAAUGAUUCCGAACAACGCUAGGACCCCCCGUCUUACCGCGGCGGCUGGCAC